GACGAACGCUGGCGGCGUGCUUAACACAUGCAAGUCGAACGAUGAACCCGGAGCUUGCUCCGGCGGAUUAGUGGCGAACGGGUGAGUAACACGUGAGUAACCUGCCCUUGACUCUGGGAUAACUGCUAGAAAUGGUAGCUAAUACCGGAUACGACCCUCGGUGGCAUCACCAGGGGGUGGAAAGAAUUUCGGUCAAGGAUGGACUCGCGGCCUAUCAGCUAGUUGGUGAGGUAACGGCUCACCAAGGCGACGACGGGUAGCCGGCCUGAGAGGGUGACCGGCCACACUGGGACUGGGACACGGCCCAGACUCCUACGGGAGGCAGCAGUGGGGAAUAUUGCACAAUGGGGGCAACCCUGAUCCAGCAAUGCCGCGUGAGUGAAGAAGGCCUUCGGGUUGUAAAGCUCUUUUGUCAGGGAAGAAACAGCAGCUCUAACACAGUCUGCGGAUGACGGUACCUGAAGAAUAAGCACCGGCUAACUACGUGCCA
rnacentral:rRNA from 1 species